CAGCAGAUGGGAAUUUUGCACAAUGGCCGAAAGGCUGAUGCAGCAACGCCGCGUGAGUGAAGAAGGCCUUCGGGUUGUAAAGCUCUGUUGCCCGUGACGAAGGUCCAGCUCAGAAAUGGGGUGGAUUGACGGUAGCGGGAGAGGAAGCCCCGGCUAACUACGUG
rnacentral:rRNA from 1 species